GACGAACCGUGCGAACGUUGUUCGGAAUCACUGGGCUUAAAGGGCGCGUAGGCGGCCGGGCAAGUCAGGGGUGAAAUCUUUCGGCUCAACCGGAAAAGUGCCUUUGAUACUGCUCGGCUCGAGGGAGGUAGGGGCGGACGGAACUUCCGGUGGAGCGGUGAAAUGCGUUGAUAUCGGAAGGAACGCCGGUGGCGAAAGCGGUCCGCUAGGCCUCUUCUGACGCUGAGGCGCGAAAGCCAGGGGAGCAAACGGGG
rnacentral:rRNA from 1 species